rnacentral:rRNA from 1 species
UCAGGACGAACGCUGGCGGCGUGCUUAACACAUGCAAGUCGAGCGAUGAAGCUUCUUCGGAAGUGGAUUAGCGGCGGACGGGUGAGUAACACGUGGGUAACCUGCCUCAUAGAGGGGAAUAGCCUUCCGAAAGGAAGAUUAAUACCGCAUAAGAUUGUAAUAUCGCAUGAUAUAACAAUUAAAGGAGUAAUCCGCUAUGAGAUGGACCCGCGUCGCAUUAGCUAGUUGGUGAGGUAACGGCUCACCAAGGCGACGAUGCGUAGCCGACCUGAGAGGGUGAUCGGCCACAUUGGGACUGAGACACGGCCCAGACUCCUACGGGAGGCAGCAGUGGGGAAUAUUGCACAAUGGGGGAAACCCUGAUGCAAGCAACGCCGCGUGAGUGAUGACGGUCUUCGGAUUGUAAAGCUCUGUCUUCAGGGACGAUAAUGACGGUACCUGAGGAGGAAGCCACGGCUAACUACGUGCCAGCCGCGGC